UGACAUUGUUGUCGGCUCACUACU
rnacentral:miRNA from 1 species